UUGAACGCUGGCGGCAUGCCUUACACAUGCAAGUCGAACGGUAACAGCUCUUCGGAGGCUGACGAGUGGCGAACGGGUGAGUAAUACAUCGGAACGUGCCCGAUCGUGGGGGAUAACGGAGCGAACGCUUUGCUACUACCGCAUACGAUCUACGGAUGAAAGCAGGGGACCCUCGGGCCUUGCGCGAACGGAGCGGCCGCUGGCAGAUUAGGUAGUUGGUGGGAUAAAAGCUUACCAAGCCGACGAUCUGUAGCUGGUCUGAGAGGACGACCAGCCACACUGGGACUGAGACACGGCCCAGACUCCUACGGGAGGCAGCAGUGGGGAAUUUUGGACAAUGGGCGAAAGCCUGAUCCAGCAAUGCCGCGGGCAGGAUGAAGGCCUUCGGGUUGUAAAGCUCGUUCAGACGGAAAGAAAGCGGGCGCGUGAAUAGCGUGCCUGGAUGACGGUACUGUCAGAAGAAGCACCGGCUAACUACGU
rnacentral:rRNA from 1 species